CUCGAACAAAUGGAUUGGAGAGGUGGUGUGAAUACAUCUCUCUCUACAGCUCAGAACAACUUGUCUCUGUGUUUCAUCUGCAUGACUGAGAGGUGUCAAGAUGUAAAAAAGAUUUUCAAUUCCAUGAGCGAUGACAAACUUUGGAUGCAAAGUACUGAAACGUCUGCCCUUCUUGACUGUUCCCUGACCUCGUCUCCCUCUUCUGGGAAGUGUGUGCCAUGUUUUGAGGACCGCAAGGUCUACGUUGUGUGCCUUGACAUGCCCAAGGAUCUCAAACUGGACCUGGAGUGGGGCAGUGUUAGCAUCUCCCUUUCCAACGCUGAAGCUAGUGAGUACAACUUUGAGCUGGUUUAG
rnacentral:lncRNA from 13 species